rnacentral:rRNA from 1 species
AGUGAACGCUGGCGGUAGGCCUAACACAUGCCAGUCGAACGGCAGCACAGUAAGAGCUUGCUCUUACGGGUGGCGAGUGGCGGACGGGUGAGGAAUACAUCGGAAUCUACUUUUUCGUGGGGGAUAACGUAGGGAAACUUACGCUAAUACCGCAUACGACCUACGGGUGAAAGAAGGGGAUCUUCGGACCUUGCGCGAUUGAAUGAGCCGAUGUCGGAUUAGCUAGUGGGCGGGGUAAAGGCCCACCAAGGCGACGAUCCGUAGCUGGUCUGAGAGGAUGAUCAGCCACACUGGAACUGAGACACGGUCCAGACUCCUACGGGAGGCAGCAGUGGGGAAUAUUGGACAAUGGGCGCAAGCCUGAUCCAGCCAUACCGCGUGGGUGAAGAAGGCCUUCGGGUUGUAAAGCCCUUUUGUUGGGAAAGAAAAGCAGCAGGUUAAUACCCCGCUGUUCUGACGGUACCCAAAGAAUAAGCACCGGCUAACUUCGUG